GUCCACGCCCUAAACGAUGUCUACUAGUUGUCGGGUCUUAAUUGACUUGGUAACGCAGCUAACGCGUGAAGUAGACCGCCUGGGGAGUACGGUCGCAAGAUUAAACUCAAAGGAAUUGACGGGACCCGCACAAGCGGUGGAUGAUGUGGAUUAAUUCGAUGCAACGCGAAAACCUUACCUACCCUUGACAUGGCUGGAACCCUGGAGAGAUUCGGGGGUGCUCGAAAGAGAACCAGUACACAGGUGCUGCAUGGCUGUCGU
rnacentral:rRNA from 1 species